GACGAACGCUGGCGGCGUGCUUAACACAUGCAAGUCGAACGGAAAGGCCCUGCUUUUGUGGGGUGCUCGAGUGGCGAACGGGUGAGUAACACGUGAGUAACCUGCCCUUGACUUUGGGAUAACUUCAGGAACCUGGGGCUAAUACCGGAUAGGAGCUCCUGCUGCAUGGUGGGGGUUGGAAAGUUUCGGCGGUUGGGGAUGGACUCGCGGCUUAUCAGCUUGUUGGUGGGGUAGUGGCUUACCAAGGCUUUGACGGGUAGCCGGCCUGAGCGGGUGACCGGCCACAUUGGGACUGAGGUACGGCCCAGACGCCUACGGGGGGCAGCAGUGGGGAAUAUUGCACAAUGGGCGGAAGCCUGAUGCAGCAACGCCGCGUGCGUGAUGACGUCCUUCGGGUUGUAAACCGCUUUCGCCUGUGACGAAGCGUGAGUGACGGUAAUGGGUAAAGAAGCACCGGCUAACUACGUG
rnacentral:rRNA from 1 species